CCCCUCGGUGCGCAGAAAGCUUGUGCAGCGGACGCGGUCGGGGCAGGGCCGUGUCCUCUCGUGUGUUGUCCUCAAAACCAGAGCCACCGCGGCGCCCGAACAGAGGCGCUGUCGCGUCUCCAAAGCCGGUGCUGAACGUGGCCAACACACACCCUUGUCGCGUGUGGCGGGUCGCGUGCUGUGAAUGAAUUCCCUCUUGUCCCAAGUCCACACCGGAGCCGAUCGUCUCCAGGGUGCCCACGGGGCGCGUCCUUGUGUCCCCGCGCUACCUUUUGUCUGUCUGGUGGCUUCGUGGGCGGAGAAGGACGUUUUCUGAGAAGGGGGAUCUGAAGGUUCACCAGGCCGCCUUGGGAGGAAGGUCACCUGGGGCGACGGGGUUAUUCACCGCCUUCCUCCUCAAGGUCGUCUCCCUCUGGGCGCGCGCUCCGGCCACUUCCCAGCGACGACGGAGCCUCGCCGGGCGAUUCCGGGCAGAGGAGCGCUGGGGUGAACCGGAGAGCGACACGCGGUCAAAGGAGAGAGUCAGGAAGGUACAGGUUCUGCACGGGGACAAGAGAGCCCGAUGGAAAGUGACAGGAGAACCGACCAUCCGGGAUCCCUUCCAACAACAGCAGGGAAGCCGCUGUGGUGAUCGUGGUUGGAAUAUUUGUCCACAACCCCCGGGGGGGGGGGGACUGUUGUGACUGUGAACCUGCCGAGAAGAGGUCCUUGCUCUGCGUCCAGAGAGCCUCCCAGGUGCCUCGCUGUGGAUCUCCGGAAGGUGAGGCCCAGGCCCGGGUUCUGACCCGAUGUGACAGCAUACACAUACUGGUUUUUAUGUGGGAUCUGUACCCUCUUUCCAUCUGGGUCUAAGUUCCCUGAGGCAACGAUUCGGGUUCUGCCCUUUUGUGCCCUUCUUGUAGCAUUUCCUGCCCGGGUGACAGCGAGAAGCUUUGGUGGUGCAAAGGCCCUGGGGUACUGAUGUGGGAAAUCUGUGAUACAGCCAGACUGCCCCGAGGAGGAGCCGCACGUUUGGGGUUCCAACCUGAGGCCACCUGAGUUGAGCAGCUGCCGGAGAGCUUCCCUGAGGCCGUUCCAGGGCUCCACACCAAUCACAGCGAGGCCAAGGCCAUAAAGAGCAGAAGCAGGAUCGUGCCCGGAGAACCCGCGUGUGGCAAAAUGGAGGAAGGUGGUCCCAGCGGUUUCCCCUGCUGGUUCCUGCGCCCAGUCGGGAGUCAGGAGGAAGAAUCACAAGGGACGCUCGCUCGCUCAGCCUUUGCUCAGGUAAUUCCACCAGCAGCGUGUCGCCAACACGCCUGGAUGGCCACAGCCCAGCGAUGGCCCUGGCAGGAAGUUCUGUGGCCUCGCUGGUACAGGGUCCGUCUGCGGCGCGAGCCCAGGAGGAAACCCAGCUGGGGGGUGGGGGGGGGGGAUGGGUCCCUGCUCCCUCUCGUGAUCCUGGAGGAGCGAUGAGGAACGUGCUUUUAGUUUUUCCAAAGGAGGGGAUUUAGGCACCGUCUUUCAGAUUUCUCGACGCCCCGGUCGAAAACACAAAAGGAGCAGGCGAAGGCUGGUGCGCUCACCCACGGGGCUCGCGCGGGAAACGGGCGCCUCGCAGAGAUGCUCCCGGUUGCGCCGUCCGCGCCGUCUCCGUAACAAGUGUUGGUCUGUGUGAACACAGGACCUUUGUACACCCGCCCCAUCCCACCAAGACCCCGGUGGCCCGGGACUCUGGGUGUGGUGCUCCGAGAGGUGUUAAUCCACCUAAAGAUUUAAGAACAAAAUGUCCGGGUCCCCGAGACUUAGCUCCAGGAGGCGUUUUGGUUGAGGGGGUGGUGGGGUUAGUUGGGGUCUUCGAGGGUGUGUUCUGGGUACACUUGCGAGAGUCGCGCCGAUUCGGAAUAAAAUAUAAAAUAACCGAGCCGCCAACCCCAGGACCUGUCCCUUACCGUCCCGCCCCGGCUCCCAAAUUACGGCUUAAACUCCCGCAGGGCUGGUAGGCGCCCACUGCCCACCCCGCGGGAGCCUGGCGGGGUUCGCACCAGCGCGGU